CCUACGGGUGGCAGCAGUGGGGAAUAUUGCACAAUGGGGGAAACCCUGAUGCAGCGACGCCGCGUGAGUGAAGAAGUAUUUCGGUAUGUAAAGCUCUAUCAGCAGGGAAGAAGCAAGACGGUACCUGACUAAGAAGCCCCGGCUAACUACGUGCCAGCAGCCGCGGUAAUACGUAGGGGGCAAGCGUUAUCCGGAUUUACUGGGUGUAAAGGGAGCGUAGACGGUAGGGCAAGUCUGAGGUGAAAGCCCAGGGCUUAACCCUGGGACUGCUUUGGAAACUGUUAGACUGGAGUGCUGGAGAGGUAAGUGGAAUGCCUAGUGUAGCGGUGAAAUGCGUAGAUAUUAGGAGGAACACCAGUGGCGAAGGCGGCUUACUGGACAGUAACUGACGUUGAGGCUCGAAAGCGUGGGGAGCAAACAGGAUUAGAUACCCCUGUAGUC
rnacentral:rRNA from 1 species